GGAAACAGAUGCUAAUACCGGAUAACAACAGAUGAUGCCUAUCAACUGUUUAAAAGAUGGUUCUGCUAUCACUCUUGGAUGGACCUGCGGUGCAUUAGCUAGUUGGUAGGGUAACGGCCUACCAAGGCGAUGAUGCAUAGCCGAGUUGAGAGACUGAUCGGCCACAUUGGGACUGAGACACGGCCCAAACUCCUACGGGAGGCAGCAGUG
rnacentral:rRNA from 1 species